GGGUCAGUAGGUUGGUCGUGCCACCGGUAAGUACUAGUCUCACUGAUUCCUCCUUCCUGAAGAACCGUAAUGCCAUUAAUUUGGUGUUGCGGGGAAACAGGACUGUUACUUUGAAAAAAUUAGAGUGUUUAAAGCAAGCUAACGCUUGAAUACAUUAGCAUGGAAUAAUGAAAUAGGACGAUCGAUCCUAUUUUGUUGGUUUCUAGGAUUGACGUA
rnacentral:rRNA from 1 species